rnacentral:rRNA from 1 species
UACCAGCACCCCGAGUGGUCGGGACGUUUAUUGGGCCUAAAGCAUCCGUAGCCGGUUCUACAAGUCUUCCGUUAAAUCCAACUGCUUAACAGGUGGGCUGCGGAAGAUACUAUAGAGCUAGGAGGCGGGAGAGGCAAGCGGUACUCGAUGGGUAGGGGUAAAAAUCCGUUGAUCCAUUGAAGACCACCAGUGGCGAAGGCGGCUUGCCAGAACGCGCUCGACGGUGAGGGAUGAAAGCUGGGGGAGCAAACCGG